UUAACGAUGGGGGCAGUGCUCUCUCAUGCCCGUCCUAGGCCAUCCAAGGAGACCAUGUUGGCCUGGGCCCUCCCCACUCCAGCCCUGCCUCCAGUAGUCAGAGCACUUCCUGAACUUGGGGCUUUAGGGGUCAAGUUUAUUUAAUGUAAAUAACAUAGUGUGGCUAAUUUGUUUUGCCAAGUAAAAACCAAAAGUAACUGCUGGUCACUACUAUUUUAUAAAAGAAAGGAUAUUUUUACAGCAAAAAUACUAGGAAGGAUAUAAUCUCAUUUGCUGUUCUAAUGAUAAAACUGGAUGGCAUAAGUUCUUUCUUGGGAUGACGAGUUUCUAACUUAAAUGUGCCUCAGUUUUCCCAUCUCACAAAUGGAUCACCGCCACACUCAGAGCGAUGCUGUGAGGAUUAACUGAAUUCGUAUUUGCAAAGGGCCCCUGGUGCCCCAGCACAGCCUCUUUGUCUGGCCCUUCCUGGGCACAGGCUCCCCUGGUCUGACGCUCACCUCUUCUCUCCCUCCCUCUGCAGGUGUUUGGGGGUCUCGUGUGGAUCCUGAUCUCUUCCUCUCUGGUGCCCAUCCCCCUGGUCCAGGGCUGGGUGAUGUUCGUGUCUGUGUUCUGCUUCGUAACCACCACUCUCCUGCUCUUUCUCUAUGUGAUCGGUGCACACGGCAGUGGGACUUUCUGGAUCACCCUGGACGCAGCUUACCACUGUGUGGCCUCCCUGUUUUACUUCGGUGCCUCCGUCCUGGAAGCUUUUGCCACCAUCCAGAUGCAAGACGGCUUCAGGUACAAACAGUACCAUGAAAACAUCUCUGCCGUGGUGAGUCCACAGUCAACCUGCCAUGUUCACGGCUCCCACCACCCAUUGACAGACAGGCUGAGCCAAAGGCUGCCCAGGCCCUCCCUGUUUUUUAAUACUUCACUGAUGUUUGAAUAAAGUACACCUUCCCCCUCAUUUCUGAAGGAAAAAAGCCCCAGAGAAGGGAAACGAUGUGCCGCAGGUUCCCUGAGCCAUCGGUCAGUGCUGCACUGCCCAGGCCUGGGCUGGCUGGGGGUCCGUGCCUGGGUGGGCUUCGGGGAAGGCAGAUGUGUCGGGAGGCAUGACCACACACACCUGGCACUGUCUGAGCUCCCUGUGAACAAUCUUAUUUACCCAUCAGAGCAGCCCGAGGAUGGAGGUGCUGUUAUUAUACCCAUUUCACAGAUGGAGAAGCAGGGCUCAAAGAGCGUACACACCUUGUCUCAAGGUCACAAAGAAUUGGUGGGCCCUGCUGUCCAGGACCGGUGCUCUGUCACCACACUCCUAGCACCAGUUUGAGCAGAGAGUAUGGCAACUUGGGUUCCCAGCUCUCCCCAGUCUUCCAAGAAAGCGUACAGUCAGGGCCACAGGAGUGCUGAGCCCAAGGACAGAAAGUUGAGUGGCCAGUGUCUCCCAGGCGCUCACUCUGAGGGUGGGGCUGUGGGGAGGCCCUUCCAGGUGCAACGUGUCCAGACCCCCAGUUGUGGGGAUUUGCUGUUGGGAUCAGGCUGUCCUCUUUCCUGUCAUUGCCCAACGCUGUCUCCUGCCUGACAGGAGGAGGGGCUGGAGCUCACUCACCCAUUCCUUGUGCAAGUCCCUUGUGCCCUCUGAGCCUUGGCUUACUCAUCUAUAAAAUAGGGUGGUGACUCCUGUUGUUUCCCUGGAGGACUAGAGAGCUAGUAAACCACUUCCCCCGCAGGCUUCCCAGUGAGCAGUGGGUGGAACAGGGGCUGAGCCUCCUCCACUCCAUCAGUAGAGCAGGUGGGGGUGAGGCUGUGUGUGACUGGGGGCACCUUGCCUGCCGGUCUCUGAGCUCUGAUGUCCUCCAACUGCAGGGCCAGAUCCAUUAGUGAGCUGUGAGGUCACGGCCUAAUUUUCUUCUUGACGAAAUGGACCAGAAUAACAGAGAAUAAGAGAAUGUGUUGUUUCAUAGAA